rnacentral:rRNA from 1 species
UUCGCCCUUAGAGUUUGAUCCUGGCUCAGGAUGAACGCUGGCGGCGUGCUUAACACAUGCAAGUCGAACGGGGCACCCCCAAAGGAGUUUUCGGACAACUGCGGGGAAUGCCUAGUGGCGGACGGGUGAGUAACGCGUGAGCAACCUGCCUUGGAGUGGGGAAUAACAGAUGGAAACAUCUGCUAAUACCGCAUGAUGCAGUUGGGCCACAUGGCUCUGACUGCCAAAGAUUUAUCGCUCUGAGAUGGGCUCGCGUCUGAUUAGCUAGUUGGCGGGGCAACGGCCCACCAAGGCGACGAUCAGUAGCCGGACUGAGAGGUUGGCCGGCCACAUUGGGACUGAGACACGGCCCAGACUCCUACGGGAGGCAGCAGUGGGGAAUAUUGGGCAAUGGGCGCAAGCCUGACCCAGCAACGCCGCGUGAAGGAAGAAGGCUUUCGGGUUGUAAACUUCUUUUCUCAGGGACGAACAGAUGACGGUACCUGAGGAAUAAGCCACGGCUAACUACGUGCCAGCAGCCGCGGUAAUACGUAGGUGGCAAGCGUUAUCCGGAUUUACUGGGUGUAAAGGGCGUGUAGGCGGGGACGCAAGUCAGAUGUGAAAACCACGGGCUCAACCUGUGGCCUGCAUUUGAAACUGUGUUUCUUGAGUACUGGAGAGGCAGACGGAAUUCCUAGUGUAGCGGUGAAAUGCGUAGAUAUUAGGAGGAACACCAGUGGCGAAGGCGGUCUGCUGGACAGCAACUGACGCUGAGGCGCGAAAGCGUGGGGAGCAAACAGGAUUAGAUACCCUGGUAGUCCACGCUGUAAACGAUGGAUACUAGGUGUGGGGGGACUGACCCCCUCCGUGCCGCAGUUAACACAAUAAGUAUCCCACCUGGGGAGUACGAUCGCAAGGUUGAAACUCAAAGGAAUUGACGGGGGCCCGCACAAGCGGUGGAGUAUGUGGUUUAAUUCGAAGCAACGCGAAGAACCUUACCAGGGCUUGACAUCCCGAGGCCCGGUGUAGAGAUACACCUUUCUCUUCGGAGACCUCGGUGACAGGUGGUGCAUGGUUGUCGCCAGCUCGUGUCGUGAGAUGUUGGGUUAAGUCCCGCAACGAGCGCAACCCUUAUCUUUAGUAGCCAGCAUUUGAGGUGGGCACUCUAGAGAGACUGCCAGGGACAACCUGGAGGAAGGUGGGGAUGACGUCAAAUCAUCAUGCCCCUUAUGAUCAGGGCUACACACGUGCUACAAUGGCGUAAACAAAGGGAAGCAAGCAUGUGAAUGUGAGCAAAUCCCAAAAAUAACGUCUCAGUUCGGAUUGUAGUCUGCAACUCGACUACAUGAAGCUGGAAUCGCUAGUAAUCGCGAAUCAGAAUGUCGCGGUGAAUACGUUCCCGGGUCUUGUACACACCGCCCGUCA